ensembl:lncRNA
ACAUUUUCAGUGAACUCUGAGCAAGGAAUGGAUGGAAAAUCUUAUCUUAGUGAGGAGGUGUGGUUGACCCCGUUGCUAGGUAUGAGUCAUCAUUUCAAAAGCCGUGAUUGGUUGAUCCUACAAGUUUGAUGGAAAUGAGUUUUUGGUGAUAAUGAGCAAAGGAUGUACCCUCAAAUCAAUAAACAUAAUUAUACACUCUAAUCUUACGCUGACUGUAAUUGUGAAUAAUAUUUCACAUUCAAGAAAAUAUCUGGAAAAUGAAUAGUAAGCUGUAGGGGUUAUAGCCUAACAUUAGAAUCUAAAAUAUGUGAAAACUUAAACUCAUUACACCCUGUUCAAAUAAUGAUUUGUGUCUUAUUUGCUCAUAUUAAUAUCCUAGCUGGCAUAUUUUGUACUUUCACUCCCAUAUGGACCCCAUUGAAAACAAGAUGGCCUAUCUCAAGGGGCUGUCCUUAAUGAAGUAGAAAUCACAACGUUACAAGUCCAGUGUGGUCUUAAUGAGGAAAAUGGAGAAAAAAAGGACUCGCAAGCCGAACUGGACUGAGGAGCAAGGUUUGUUGCUGGCCCAGUUGGUGAAUGAACAUAAAGGCGACGGUUGUGAGAGAAGGUGAUAUGUGCUGCAGUCCAAGGCAAAAGAUGAGAUUGCAGCACACAAGCAGGAAUCCUCACUCACAGGGGGCGGCUGUCCCUGGUGGCUGACACGGUCUUUCAAGUCCUGGGACACUCUGAGGUCAGUGUCACUGGGCUGCCAACAGGCAUUGACACAUCAAUGAUGAAGGCCCUUGAAGUGCAGCAAAGCAUGGAGCCAUCACAAGAACCGGGCCCAUCAAGUUUGCCGAUGAGAUUGCCGCCUGAACUAUCUGCAGCUGCUACUCAGGAUAGCCCGGCGGAUCAAACACCAUUCCCAUCCGCAGCACCUGCUCUGUCAGCAUCCCUGCAGGAGAGCAGAUUGCAACUCACAAUUGAUGUGUUUGAACAACAAAAAAAAAGUCCUUUCCCUUCAGGAGGAGUACUACCGCCUUAAAAUUGAACACCUAAAAAAUAAACCAUUUACAG